UCAAAUUGACAUAAGUUAUAAAAAGUGUCAAACUAACUUUUCUUCUUUUGAGUUGACAGCCUCUACACAGUCAUGGAUGCAAUAACAUGCUGCAUCAACAUCUCUUUGUCUUGAAAAGAAAAGUGCUGCUCAUUUCCUGUUCAAACUCCACUGACACCCUGGUGAAAAUGGAGAGGAAGAAAAAAGAAGCUGGCAGUGUGCACAGGUGUUAUGACUGGGAGAGAUUGUUCGAUAUUGCAAUGUCCCAACCUCACUGAAGUUCUAAAAGCUCAAUUUGACAUCAUUAGUCAAGACAAACUCUAUAAAUACAGGAAAUGAUGUGCUUUUCCUCCUUUUGCUCCUGGAACACAUGCUAACUUUACGCAGCUUACUCUCUGGAGUCUUCUGCUCUGAGCAUCACUACGCUGUGAGGGACAGAGGAUGAUUGACGGGGAAAGUCCU